rnacentral:rRNA from 1 species
CCUACGGGUGGCAGCAGUGGGGAAUAUUGCGCAAUGGGCGAAAGCCUGACGCAGCGACGCCGCGUGAGGGAUGAAGGUCUUCGGAUCGUAAACCUCUGUCAGCAGGGAAGAACGGUCACUGUGCUAAUCAGCAGUGAAUUGACGGUACCUGCAAAGGAAGCACCGGCUAACUCCGUGCCAGCAGCCGCGGUAAUACGGGGGGUGCGAGCGUUAAUCGGAAGUACUGGGCGGAAAGCGCUCGUAGGCGGGAUGUCAAGUCAAGGGUGAAAUCCCCGCGCUCAACGUGGGAACUGCCUUUGAAACUGGCAAACUGGAGUUGGUGAGAGGAUAGUGGAAUUCCAGGUGUAGGAGGGAAAUCCGUAGAUAUCUGGAGGAACUUCAGUGGCGAAGGCGACUAUCUGGCACAUAACUGACGCUGAGGAGCGAAAGCGUGGGUAGCAAACAGGAUUAGAUACCCCGGUAGUC